GGGGAAUAUUGCGCAAUGGACGAAAGUCUGACGCAGCGACGCCGCGUGUAGGAUGACGCCUUUCGGGGUGUAAACUACUGUUGCCCGGGACGAAACCCUCCUUUCGAGGAGAUUGACGGUACCGGGUGAGGAAGCACCGGCUAACUCUGUGCCCGCAGCCGCGGUAAUACAGAGGGUGCGAGCGUUGUCCGGAAUCACUGGGCGUAAAGGGCGCGUAGGUGGCUUGAUAAGCGUGUGGUGAAAGUCCGGGGCUCAACCCCGGAUCUGCCGUGCGAACUGCCGAGCUCGAGCAAUGUAGAGGCAGGUGGAAUUUCGGGUGUAGCGGUGGAAUGCGUAGAGAUCCGAAAGAACACCAGUGGCGAAGGCGGCCUGCUGGGCAUUAGCUGACACUGAGGCGCGACAGCGUGGGGAGCAAA
rnacentral:rRNA from 1 species